GUGACAUUUGACUUAAUUCUUUUACUUAAGCAUUUUAGUUUUACUUUAUAGGCUUUUUCAGAAUAUGGAAUAUACAAAAAGUAAAAGGAGGAAGUAAGCAGAAGCAGAUUGAGAGAAAAUAAAACGAUUUAGGGGAAAAAAACGUGGUGUCUUGAUUUGGGUUAUAUUUUCAGUUUACAUAUAGAAUUAAAUGGCCAUAAAAUGUUAAGCUUACCUGCCAAUACUAAGGCAAGGAUCUUACAUAGAUUCCUACACUAAGAAAUAUGAUUAAAUGAGAGAAUUACAAAAUGUUACAGGAACAAUAGGUAGAUGAGAACCCUGAUCAAACAAGCUGCAGUCUAGAGGAGUGGAGUAUAAAGACACAUUAGGAAGGGCAUUGAUGGGGACAGCAAACAAACAAGGUGGAAAAGUAGCAGAACUGGAGGUGAGACUGGAGAGAGCCAGAGACAGAUUUGAGACAGAAGUAAACUGUGAGGCCAUAAGCUUUCCAUAAGAGAUAGGUUUUGAG